GUCAAUGAAAAGAGGAGACUAGAGGAUGAUGAUGCCCAACCUUCCAACGGUGCAGCUCUAAAAAAACCAAAGAUAGAACCUUUUACAGCGUACCUGACAUGUGGUGCCCGACUGUGUGAUGAUUUCGAAGCUAUUCCUUUCACUAAGAAUAUAAGUCAGAAUACAACUGGAGGUGAACAAAUCUACAAAGGUGGUAGUCUUGACUCCGCAGAUCAUGUAUGUACAUCUGCUCUAAGCAGCAGCUCUGUUGAUCCAGAAGUUGUGUUGUGCUCAUGCCGAGGGUUUGAUCCUGAUGUUACUCAGGUCUGUCUGAACUUUUACUGCUUUUAUAGAGGGUUUGUUUUGAGCUGAACAUUUGACUUUUGGUUCUGACAGGUGUUUGUAGAGCUGUGCGGAUCUAGAUUACCAUUUCAGGAGAACCUGAGCGAAUGGAGUGUAAAGCUGCUGAUCAAGGCUGCUUUUGCCAGAGCAGGAGUUGAGUCAGAUGAUUUCUAUGCAACAUUAUCUGGAAAAGUCUUAGAGCCGGAGAGACCACUUUCUUAUUAUCAUAUACGUCAAAAUAGUACGAUCAUAGUUCAUCCUAAACUAAGGGAUGGUGUUAGGUACGUUAUAAAUUAAAAUCCUUUUAUUCAAUGGAAUAUCAAUUGAUUAAUUUAUUAUUUGGAGUACUAAUGCUGUUGCUUUGGCAGGUACCAGACGUGGGAUGAUAUUGUCAGUGCUGGUCCUCGUUACCACAGUGUGAAU